rnacentral:rRNA from 1 species
UGCCUACGGGUGGCAGCAGUGGGGAAUAUUGGACAAUGGGCGAAAGCCUGAUCCAGCCAUGCCGCGUGUGUGAAGAAGGUCUUCGGAUUGUAAAGCACUUUAAGUUGGGAGGAAGGGCAGUAAGUUAAUACCUUGCUGUUUUGACGUUACCGACAGAAUAAGCACCGGCUAACUCUGUGCCAGCAGCCGCGGUAAUACAGAGGGUGCAAGCGUUAAUCGGAAUUACUGGGCGUAAAGCGCGCGUAGGUGGUUUGUUAAGUUGGAUGUGAAAGCCCCGGGCGCAACCUGGGAACUGCAUCCAAAACUGGCAAGCUAGAGUACGGUAGAGGGUGGUGGAAUUUCCUGUGUAGCGGUGAAAUGCGUAGAUAUAGGAAGGAACACCAGUGGCGAAGGCGACCACCUGGACUGAUACUGACACUGAGGUGCGAAAGCGUGGGGAGCAAACAGGAUUAGAUACCCCAGUAGUC